rnacentral:lncRNA from 1 species
GUUGUCUCACUUUGUGUUUUCUUUAUUGUGUCUACUUCCCUUUUUAGGUCUUGUAUGGUUUUGUUCAAUUCCAUCACCUGUCUGGUUGUGUUUCUCUUUAUUUCUUUAAGGACUUCUACCUCUUUAGCAGUGUUCUACUCUAUUUUCUUUAAGUGAGUUAUUAAAGUCCUUCUUGAAGUCCUCUACCAGCAUCAAGAGAUAUGAUUUUAAAUCUGAUUCUUGCUUUUCAGAUUUUGCAUGCCCUAUGUAUGGUUGUGGAGUAGGCUGUAUCUCCACCAACGUCAUUGGCAUUGUUUUCAAGCUGCAGUUAAGAAAUCUUAGAGGAGGUGGCAUAGAUAUCCUGCUUAGGGCUGAGAAUGCAACAGUCAGCCCUGAAGUCCCAUCAUAGUAGCUUUGGAGACUGUCUAGGGAAGCUCCUCUGAGUAUGCCAUUCAGUAUGUCCAAGAGUGGAGCCUAGUCCUUUCUGCAGUCAUGCUUUUAUUACUUCUGAGACUCUGUGGCUGAAUCCUGAGACUCAAGCUGGCCAAAGGACCUCUGGGAAAACCGGGUAGUGUCUGAUAUGAAAUCUCAUUUCCACUACCACAUUUUCUGUCUGUUAAUUUUUCAAAGAGAGCCUCACUCAGAUGAUGAAGCCUGCUUGAUUUGGGGGUGAUGAGUAAUCUGGCCACAGCCCCUGUGACGACAAGUCUGUGAGGUUUUGGAGCAGCACUGUGCACCACAUUCAAAUCAGAACACUCAGGUUUCCUUCACAAUAUCAAUGUGGUAGCGGCUGGAAAGAAAUAUUCUAAAAUUUAGAGGAAGAAUUACAGGGAUGGAAAUGGAAAGGAGCCUGAGGAAAAGAAGGUCCAGUGACAGGCCCAAAGAGGGAUCAAGCUCAAGGGAAGGUCCCAAGGCCCAACACUAUUACUGAGUCUAUGGAGCACUCACAAAAAGCGACCUAGCAUGACCGAACACUGGAAGAACCAACAAGCAUCUAAAAGAUUCAGAUGCAGAUAUUUACAACCAAGAAAUGGACAGAAGCAGCUGACCCCUGUUGUUGAAUUAGGGAAGGCUGAAAGAAGGUGAGGAGAAGUGCGAUCCUGCAAGAGGACCAACAGUUUCAAUUAAUCUGGACGCCUGAGAUCUCUCAAACACUGGAACACCAAACAGACAGCAUAAACCAGCUGAUAUGAGGCCCCCAACACACAUACAGUAGAAGACUUCCGGGUCUGCGUUCAUUCAGAGAUGAUGCACCUAAUUCUCAAAAGACUGAAGGCCUCAGGGAAUUUAGAGGUCAGGUACACUGUGUCUAUGAUUCCAUCAGAGAUGAUUACGAUUGAAGUUAGGCUCUUUUCCCACGGAUUGGUCUGCUGAAUGAUAGUUUACAAUCAACGUGCCUGGCAAUGAAGCCCUCCUCUUUUGCUUUUCCAAGGACACUAGAAGGAAUCCACCUAAAGCACUGAAACAGUGAGGUCAAGUCCAAGUGGAUCAAGGAUCUCCACAUAAAAGAAGAGACACUGAAACUUAUGGAGAGGGAAAGUCACAAAGCAAUAUGGAGUCAAGCCUAUGAUUUAAAUGGACAGCCAGAAAUUUGGAAGGAACAAGACUUAACAUUUGAUGGGGAAGACUUGUAGAGACGAGGUAGACAAAGAUGAACAAAAUAGAAAUUUGCCAUCUCCAAUGCAAGGCACCAUCACUAAUAAAUAUCUUUGCUGAAAAAUAAAUGCAGAAUGGAAGACAGGAAAAGAAAAUUUGCAGAGUCCCCAAUGGAGGAGUUAGAAAGAGGACUGAAGAAGCUGAAGGGGUUUGCAACCCUAUAGGAAGAACAACAAUAUGAACCAACCAGAUCCCCCAGAACACCCAGGGACUAAGCCAUCAACAAAGAAAUUUCUAUCCUACUGGAUAAUGUAUGUAGGACACACAUGCCGUGUAAGAAUAACUUCCUUUAAACUUCAAGGAGAGAAUUUGCUCUGGUAAAGAAAUCAUACUUGUAACAUUGUAGCAAAGAUCUACAUAUAUACCUACGUGACUGAAAAUUCUUCCCUACCUUCCCAGGAUUUCUAGUUAUCCCCUAGGGGAGACAUAUAUAAGGUGACAGGGAAGUUAUAAUGAUACUUCUGAAACAAUUUGUGAUAGUGGUAACUUUCAGAGGACUGCUAAGACAGUAAACGAAUGAAGGUAUGAUUUUGUGACUCAGAAAUGAAGUUUCUCAAGGUUCUAGAAAGCUACAAAGAUGUCUGGCAUAUCCAGCAACUGCAUCAUCUUAUAAUUACUCCUGGUACAAGAUUGUGCCCAUUGAUAUCAUGGAAAUAUUUAUGUAGAACCAAAAC